AUGAGCGGGGGCACUCCUUACAUCGGCAGCAAGAUCAACCUCAUUUCCAAGGUGGAGAUCCGCUACGAGGGCAUCCUCUACACCAUCGACACCAAGAACUCCACCGUAGCCCUCACCAAAGUUGGAUCCUUUGGUACAGAAGACCGGCCAACAGAUGGUCCAAUACCACCUCUAGAUGAAGUCUUUGAAUACAUUAUAUUCCGUGGAAGUGAUGUUAAAGACCUCACUGUUUGUGAGCCGCCAAAACCACAGUGUUCUUUGCCUCAGGACCCAGCCAUUGUUCGGUCUUCAUUAGGUUCAUCUAUUUCUCCAUUCCAGUCAGUGAGUUCCUGUGGACCUUUUGGCAGGAUGCCGACAUACAGCCAGUUCAGUCCAAGUUCAUUGGUCGGGCAGCAGUUUGGUGCUGUUGGUAUCGCUGGAAGCUCUUGACAGCCUUUGGAUCAGAAACGUCAAGCAGCGGUACCUUAUCCCAAAGUAGUGCAGUUGGGUCUGCCUUUACGCAGGAUACAAGAUCUAUAAAGACACAGUUAUCUCAAGGUCAUUCAAGCCUUCAGUUAGACCCUUUGAGAAAAAGCCCAACCAUGGAGCAAGAGUACAGACCGCCUCAGCCCACUUACCUGCUCCAGCACCAGGUGGGAGAAGGAGCCCUCCUGUAUCAGCCAGGCCUUUGCCAUCUACCAGCCAAGAAGCAAUAGAGAAUCAAGAGCACAGGCGAGCUGAAGUACGCAAAGUUUCAAGGCCAGAAAAUGAGCAACCCAGAAAUGAUAGUAAGACAAAUCCUUCCAGGUGCUCCUUCAACUCCAAGGACAGGGUGUGGAGGACGUCGAGGUGGCCGGGGAAGGUUUGGUAUUUGGAGAGAUGGUCCGAUGAAAUUUGAGAAAGACUUUGACUUCGAAAGUGCAAAUGCACAAUUUAACAAAGAGGAGAUUGACAGAGAAUUUCAUAGUAGACUUAAAUUAAAAGAAGAUAAACUUGAGAAACAAAAGAAACCUGUAAAUGGUGAAGAUAAGGGAGACUCUGGAGUUGAUACCCAAAACAGUGAAGGAAUGCUGAUGAAGAAGACCCUCUUGGCCCUAAUUGCUACUACAACAAAACUAAAUGUUGAUAUUUCUUGUGAUGAUAAUAGGGAACGGAGACCAACCUGGGCUGAAGAAAGGCGAUUAAAUGCUGAAACUUUUGGGAUUCCACUCCAUCCAAACCGUGGUCGUGGAGGGUACAGAGGAGGCAGAGGAGGUCUUGGUUUCCGUGGCGGCCGAGGACGUGGCAGUGGCAGAGGUGGUAACUUUAUUACUCCUCAGGGAUUUCGUGGUGGAUUCAGAGGAGGUCGUGGUGGAAGAGAGUUUGCAGAUUUUGAAUAUAGGAAAGACAACAAAGUUGCUGCAUAGUCUUCAAACAAGUCUUUGAAAAUGGGUGAAUUUGUAGCUCUUUAUGGUCCUGAAACUUGGUUUCGG